AAGCUCAAGGGCGUCCAAAUCUUGCUUCUAGCAUUUCCCUGUACGUUAGCGAUCAUGGGUAAAACCUAGCGACCUGGAGUUUGGCCGGCCGCUAGUACGUCGACGGAACGCGGCUGGUU
ncrna:unclassified sequences Flavobacterium-1 RNA